GCAUGGUCCGAGUUUGAAAGAUGGCUUCGGCUAUCACUUUUGGAUGGUCCCGCGGCGUAUUAGCUAGAUGGUGGGGUAACGGCUCACCAUGGCAAUGAUACGUAGCCGACCUGAGAGGGUAAUCGGCCACAUUGGGACUGAGACACGGCCCAAACUCCUACGGGAGGCAGCAGUAGGGAAUCUUCCACAAUGGACGAAAGUCUGAUGGAGCAACGCCGCGUGAGUGAAGAAGGGUUUCGGCUCGUAAAACUCUGUUGUUAAAGAAGAACAUAUCUGAGAGUAACUGUUCAGGUAUUGACGGUAUUUAACCAGAAAGCCACGGCUAACUACGUGCCAGCAGCCGCGGUAAUACGUAGGUGGCAAGCGUUGUCCGGAUUUAUUGGGCGUAAAGCGAGCGCAGGCGGUUUUUUAAGUCUGAUGUGAAAGCCUUCGGCUCAACCGAAGAAGUGCAUCGGAAACUGGGAAACUUGAGUGCAGAAGAGGACAGUGGAACUCCAUGUGUAGCGGUGAAAUGCGUAGAUAUAUGGAAGAACACCAGUGGCGAAAGCGGCUGUCUGGUCUGUAACUGACGCUGAGGCUCGAAAGUAUGGGUAGCAACACGAUUAGAUACCCUGGUAGUCCAUACCGUAACGAUGAUGCUAGUGUGAGGUUUCGCCCUCAGUGCUGCAGCUACGCAUAGCAUCGCCUGGGAGUACCGCGCAGCUGAACU
rnacentral:rRNA from 2 species